AGGGCAUGGUUAAAAGGGCAUGGGAGGUUCAUGCCCAAACUGGCUCUACAUUUGAGAUGCCUACUCUAAGGAGCUUCUCUCUGCCUCUAAAUAUCCUCUCUGUUAGCACCCCUACUUACAAAAUACUUCAAAGACUUCAGAUAGGCAACUUCCAGAUGAUGGGUCAUAUGGCUACCUGUUGCUCACUAGAUUCACAUCUCUUGGCUCUGCUACCAAGAAGAAUUCAUGUUCUUGUUCCAGCUCCAAUUCAAGAUUAUCUGAGAGCAGAAUGCUAAUUGGGUCACUUGUGCAUUCCUUGACCAAACAAACAUGGUUAGAGAAAAGGUCCAGUAGGAACAUAAAGCCACACUGAACCUCAAAUGCUGUAAUACAGAGAAGAGGGAAGAAAAGAAGUGCUGCUGUUUCCAGAGUAAGGAAGUUUAAUUGGGAACAAAACAAUAAGUGUUCCUUUUAGAAACAAAUGCUUUCGUAGUAUAAGUUUAUCCCAUGCAGUAUUUGUUAUGUACUUAUCUCAAAAGAUUAUUUGUUUUUUUAUCUGAUAUUCAAUUUCAACUUGGCACUUUGUUUUCUUUGUGUGUGUAUGUGUGUGUGUGUAUGCAUGCAUGCACUAAAUUUGUGCACAUCUUUACAAAUUAACAAUGUUUUAUGGUCAUAUUUCAAUUAAAAAAUAGAAACAGGAAACAUA